AACGAACGCUGGCGGCAGGCCUAACACAUGCAAGUCGAGCGAGGACUUCGGUCCUAGCGGCGGACGGGUGAGUAACGCGUGGGAACGUGCCCUUUGCUUCGGAAUAGCCCUGGGAAACUGGGAGUAAUACCGGAUGAGCCCUUUGGGGGAAAGAUUUAUCGGCGAAGGAUCGGCCCGCGUUGGAUUAGGUAGUUGGUGGGGUAAUGGCCUACCAAGCCGACGAUCCAUAGCUGGUUUGAGAGGAUGAUCAGCCACACUGGGACUGAGACACGGCCCAGACUCCUACGGGAGGCAGCAGUGGGGAAUCUUAGACAAUGGGGGAAACCCUGAUCUAGCCAUGCCGGGUGGGCGAUGAAGGCCUUAGGGUUGUAAAGCUCUUUCAGCUGGGAAGAUAAUGACGGUACCAGCAGAAGAAGCCCCGGCUAACUCCGUG
rnacentral:rRNA from 1 species